rnacentral:lncRNA from 1 species
UUCUUUCUUUCAGUUUCUUAAACUUUUUUUUAUCAUUGUAUGUAUUUGGAGAUUGCAUUAAACAACAUUUCAACAAAAUGAAGUAUUUAUAUGAGUGAAGAUAAUGAUUUUGCUACUUCUUAUGAAGAGUUUGAAAGGACACACCACUCUGCUAAUCAGACGAAUCUGAUUAAAAAUUCUAAGAGGUAUUCUUUCUUUUUCUUCUCUUGGUUCUCAAUUUUUUUAUUUGAAAAUUGCAAGUUCUUAAGACUUUUUGUUUAUGGUUUUUAAUAAUAUCUUUUGUUAGGAUCGGGAGCAUGUGGAAGUACAUAAUGAGAUGACGUUAAAUCAAAAUAUAGAGGAAAGUAGAAGUUUCAAGGAAUAUCAGAUGAUGGAGAAUUCUACAAUGAAUCUCAUUAGCUUCACAACUGAAUCAAUUUAGCUUCAAGCCACCAAUGAAGUUUGAUGAUGAAAAUAUGGAUACAGAGAAAGAGAAGGAAGAAGAAGCUUAUCUUGUUUACCUAUUUACAAUUUUUUUUUGUAUUCAUCUUCGUG